UACAGAGGGUGCGAGCGUUGUUCGGAAUUAUUGGGCGUAAAGGGCGCGUAGGCGGUGCGGUAAGUCACCUGUGAAAUCUCCUGGCUCAACUGGGAGCUUGCAGGCGAAACUGCCGUGCUGGAGUGUGGGAGAGGUGCGUGGAAUUCCUGGUGUAGCGGUGAAGUGCGUAGAUAUCAGGAGGAACACCUGUGGCGAAAGCGGCGCGCUGGACCGCAACUGACGCUGAGGCGCGAAAGCUAGGGGAGCAAACAGG
rnacentral:rRNA from 1 species